ensembl:antisense
ACAAGAAGAAUGUCACAGUGAGAGCAACUACAUCCGGUGUUCUGCCAUCAAUAUUUCCGAGCAAACGGUCCACUUGAGUGGAUAAAUAUAUCAUGAAGAUUCCUAGUGUAUACUGAGUAGGGACAAGCCAGGACUUGCGACGACCAAAGUUCUUAAAGUAGACGGCAUCAACCAAGGGAGCCCAGAGCAACUUAAGACUGAAUGGCCAGAAGACAAAACUGAAGAAAGCCUGAUCUGUAUAGCUAACAUUUUUGCUUUGCAAAAUGAGGGGGAUGCUCCCCGCCAGGCCUAAGGGAAUGCCCUGAAGCACGUAAAGAAAGAGUAGUAGCAAAAUGCUACUUAGUUCCGAUCUAUAGCUCCGCGGGGCUUUAGGUAAGUCACCAGGGCCGGCAUCACCUAGAAGAACUUCCCGGUCCCCCUCCCCGCCCACCGAGUCUCGGCGACUGUCAUCCCAGCCGCCCGGUGGCAGCGGGCCACUCUUCAUAUCCAGAGCGUGGCUAAACAUGCCUGACCGCCGCUGCCGACUGCUGUCCUUGUGGGAGAUGGUCGGUGACAUAUCAGAGACGACGCAGAGCCCGGUGUGUGGGGGCCUGAGGCUGGCGUUUUGAUCAGUCUAGUCCCAGGUCCAAGGCAGUCUCUCUGGACCAGGGUCACGGUGGUUCAACGCCGGGAGAGCGGACGCGGAGAGACUGGUCGCUGUUUUGCAGCAGGGAUCCAGAUCCCUGGCAGGUGGCCCAGGCGAAGCCUGGGUCGCUGCCCACAGGAGCGACUUCAGGGAGCCGGCAAGAGCUCCCCGUGCAGCCGCACCCGGCUUGAGGCUGGCGGAGCGUGCCGUGGCGCUGCGACGGAGUCUGGCUCUUAACUGCAGCGGGGUUAACGCUCUCUUGCCCGUCCACCUGCCACUAGGUCUCUGCUGACACUGCAGCGGGCACCCUCCUCAGUAGACACCAGAGGUAAAGGAUAACUUCCUGCUUCGCGCUUCGGGAAGUGGUUCCCUGCCAAAAUGGGUUCCUUGCCUCCCGACUGAGCCAGCGAAUCAGAACAAGUUCCGGUGGCGGCGACCGCGAGCAACGUUUGCUAGGAACCAUUAAUUCCCUCGAUUCUGACCCCGAGGGAGGAAUAACGCCAGCGUACCGAGCGUCCAGGACGGAACGUCUUAACAAACCCGGUUCCGUUUGCGCAUGCGCUUGCAUGGGAACUCGUGUGCCUCGGCCAUUGGGCCCUCGUCGCCACGUGAGCGCGGGUUUUCUGGAUUGGCCUAGGCCUUGGUGAUAACAUUGCACAAGGUCUGUAGGCGAGUUUGUACUUAUUUAAUUCAGUACAUAACUUCCAGGCUUGUAGUUGGGUAAUAAUGCUGCUUUGUGAACCUGCGGUUACUAAGCUUUGGUGUCAGGUUGUGGGUCCUUUAUGCCCGACUAAAUGGAAACACUCCUACCUAAUACACAGAACGAAUAAGGCUGUCCAUUUCCCCCAAUGUCAAAGAAGAAAUGUAGGGGAACGCUAGAUACACAGAGUGAAGGAGGUAAAUUUCAGUCUGCUGCAUCUUAUUUUUUUGCCAAUGGAAACUUCUCGAAACCACCUUUCUCCUUUCAUGUCAUCCAUGGUUAUGCAUUUUAAGUGCAUAACGACGCACUUCUUCGAGUUUUGGUGAAUCGUUGGAAGCUCUUAGAGCUUGAAAUGUUAAGAUACUAGAUUUAGUAUUUCAGUGAUAACAAAGAAAUAAGUUUUCCAAGAAUUUUAUUGGAUUCAUAAUUGGCCAGUUUUUCAAAUGCCAUUUCAAGUGUAAUAGUACAUGCUUUCUUCAUUAAAAACAAAAACAAACCAUAAA